GAUCCUGGCUCAGGAUGAACGCUGGCGGCGCGCUUAACACAUGCAAGUCGAACGGUUAAAGCACCUCCGGGUGUGCAUAAAGUGGCGAACGGCUGAGUAACACGUGGGCAACCUGCCCCCCGCACCGGGAUAGCCUCGGGAAACCGUGGGUAAUACCGGAUACUCCGCCACCCCCGCAUGGGGGAGGCGGGAAAGCGUACACGGCGGGGGAUGGGCCCGCGGCCUGUUAGCUCGUUGGCGGGGUAACGGCCCACCAAGGCGAUUAUGGGUAGCCGGGUUGAGAGACCGACCGGCCAGAUUGGGACUGAGACACGGCCCAGACUCCUACGGGAGGCAGCAGUGGGGAAUCUUGCACAAUGGGCGAAAGCCUGAUGCAAGCGACGCCGCGUGCGGGAUGAAGGCCCUCGGGUUGUAAACCGCUUUCAGCAGGGACGAGGCGCAAGUGACGGUACCUGCAGAAGAAGCCCCGGCUAACUACGUGCCAGCCGCGGC
rnacentral:rRNA from 1 species